AUGCUCGAGGGUCUGCGUACCCGC
rnacentral:siRNA from 1 species